CUGUGCAUAGAGCAGCCCAGAGAUAAGCAGACGGGAGCUUGGACCAGCUUUUAGAGAACUUUUCUGAUCAUCUUGGGCUCUCAGUCAACUUCCUCACUUUGAAGAUUUGAAUUUCCAGCCACAGAGAGGAGAGGAUCACUGCUCAAAAUCAAGCAAAAAGCUCCGACGGAGACAGAUGACAACCAGACUACUAAGGACCACGCAUGAUGUCACCUGGCCACGCCAGCCCCAGCCCGAGAUUCCGUCCCAUUUGAGAGUUGUUCCAACACC